ACGGCGGCGGUGCGGUGACGAUUGUGUUUCUUCUCACAACCUGAAACGGUCGGUUUAAUGGCUUCAUGAUCCAUCAUCCACGAUCUACAUUCAAUGAGGUUAGCUCUUGCAAAGCUGUGGAAAUUCAAGUAUAAAAAGGUUUGCAUCCCUCCUCUCGAAAUCAUCCUAUCGUAUAUAGAUCGACGUUGAUCAGCCAGUUUCCAUCGUCGACGAAGACGAUCUGGCGUCACAUCUGCUGCCCAUUCAGUGGCCUCAGCCUCAGAACGAAGAGAUUUUUCUUGCCAUGGAAGAAGCUGCGUUCGAAGAAAAGGUAUAUCUUCUCUUCUCUGUAUUCUUGAAUGUAAUUUGCCAAAAUCAAAUAUUUAAUCCCGUAUGAUGAAAUCUGUGUGAUAAUCAUGAAUGAUACAUUCUGGGUUUUGAUUCCCGAUUUAACUUUUUUCCCGCUACCAACAAGCGAGAAGAGAAAGUUUACACAGAAAGAAACUGAGGGUGAUCGAAAAAGAAGAUGGCGAUGGAAAUAGCAACACCGGCUCCUGCACCGAUCACAUCCCUGAGAUAAACAUCAUCCUCUUGCCGGCAAAGACGGAGACUCACAUGAAGAACAUGAUUCAAGUCUCCAGCACGAAGAAAUCAUUGUUCUUCUACGUUAAUCUCGCGCCAAGAUGCAAAGGUACAUACAUCAACACAAUGAGGUCGAGCUCUCUGCACUCUGAAUGGGUAUAUACCACAUUUUCAUCGUAACUUAAAAUCUUAUCGGAAAAGCAUGGACUGGUUUCUCUCUUCUUUGUGUAUUUUACUUUUAACUGUUUUAGUUUGCACACAGCAAUAACGAUGGUGGUAACAAUCUUUGAGAUCUUGAAGAACAUUGGAUUGACUACAAAGAAGAAAAUGAAGAAUGAGGCCAAAGGAACGAUUUUUUUUUGUCACUAUCUUUUAGCAUCAUCCUCCUAAGGGUCGCAACCGAAAGCCAUGGUAUUUCCUAGCUCCCAAAGUUGUCGAUCUCACCAGCUCCGAUUGCAGUCCAAUUUUAUUGUUUUGAAGAAUAUCUGCCUCGAUCUCGGUUAAUGUUAGAUUCAUCUUGCUCAAUCUCUGUUCUCUGAUUCUGAUUCUGCUUUUGCUUCAUUUACCUUAACAAUUUUGCUGAUUCAGAUCGGAUUGAUACAUAAUCUUUCACAUUAAAUAUUAAAAUACUUAGUAUCUGAUAGCUUGGUUUGGAUAUUGGGUUCUGAAUUUUGGAAACCUUCUGUAAUUGUAAUUGCAGCUUCAUUUUCAUGUUAUGUCUGUUGCUUGCAUUCUCAGUACGUUUGUUAUGGUUCAACCACCAGCACACCAUUGUUUGCGAGAGAGAUAAUGACUGUAAAACAUGUCCUAGGUGUAAUUGCAGCUGCAUAUGCUAUUACUAGCUCUUUCUUCAUGUUCUUUCUCUUGCUUUAAUUCUCUGUACAUUCUAGCUAUUUUCUGUUAUAAUAUAGAAAGUUUAAAUCUUGGAUCAACAACCAGCAUAACUGCUCUGUAUCUAUGACUCAGAGAGAUUUAGUGUGUGUAUUAAUAUGUGCUCUCGCUUGAAUAUCUCAACUUCUGAGAUUUUGUACUUAUGGAUUCAGAUUUUUAGUUGUUCUAAUGUGUUAGAUAGAGCAGCAUUACAUGGCUCAGGGUUUGAGUAUUGUUGGCUACUUUCAUACGAACAAGAGGUUCGACUGGAGCUCUCUGGUGUUCCUAAGAAUAUCGGUGAUCACAUCUCUCAGCUAUUUCCCUUAGGCCGCGAAGCUCUUAUACUCUUCUUUCAGUCAAAGCAGUUUAUUGAUUCACUAGGUAUGACCAUCUUACGUUGCACAUUUAUGUUGUUUUGUAGUUUAAUAGAUAAAAGCUUGAAGCCUUAUCAAAGGGUAAAGAUAGAAACCCUGAGAUGCAGGUUUGUGUUUCUAAACACGACAAAAGUUUUGAACAUCUUACUACAGCAUGGAUACAAGAUUUGGAAGGAAAUGUAUGGGGAAGAUCUAGAUGAUUUGAAUGUGGCAUUGUAUUCGGAGUGGAAGUAGCUUUGGGUUAUGAGGAGAUUUGUUCAGAUUUUUUUGGGAACAGAGUGUUUAUUAGGAGAAAGCAUCGAUACAUGAAACUUAUCAGGCCUUUCACCAUGGAAAAGAGAUUAAUGUCUCGGUUACGUAGAGAGAAAAUGUACAUGGAGGAAAAUAUGUUUAGCCCCUUUCCAUCACAUUGUAAUUCAUUUCGAGGCCAUUGGUUUUACUGAUGGUACAAAAGUAAUUAACAAAAACUCUGGAGAUUUUCUUAGCCGAGCUCAAAGUUGUAGAAUUCCUUAGCUAAGGAAGUUGAAAGCUUUAGGUCUUUAUGUUAUAGAUACUGACAAUGGCGAAGACUUUACAUGUUAAGCUGAAUUUAUGUUUUUAAAAAGAUCAAA